GCCUUGUCUCUGAUAGAAUUGGCCUGUUGUGGACGGGCUUUGUGUAGAUUAGAGAAAGAAGAAGAUGCUCUUUUGGUGUAAUUGUUCAGCUAAAUCAGUGUGAGACCAAGGACCCUGGGGCUCCUCCAGUCAUUGCAGCUGUAUCACAACUACCCUGACAGAGGCUUUACAAAUAGCUACUGUUAUAUCAAACUACAUGCAACUAGUUUUCCCUGCUGGACUUCCAUAGUUGUGAAGCCAUGAUUACCA